UGAGCCCUGACCAGGGCCCGGGCUGAGCCUGCAACCAAGGCAUGGCUAACAUAAAAGCUGCCCCAAAGAUAAUUGAUACACAUGGAGGCUUCAUUCUGGAAGAGGAAGGAGAAGAAGAACAUACAGUUGGAAAAGUUGUUCAUGAACCAGGACCUGUUAUGGAAUUUGAUUAUGCAAUAUGUGAAGAAUGUAGUAGAGAAUUUAUGGAUUCUUAUCUUAUGAAUCACUUUGAUUUGCCAACUUGUGAUAACUGCAGAGAUGCUGAUGAUAAACACAAACUUAUAACUAAAACAGAAGCAAAACAAGAAUACCUUCUGAAAGACUGUGAUUUAGAAAAAAGAGAACCACCUCUUAAAUUUAUUGUGAAGAAGAAUCCUCGUCAUUCACAAUGGGGUGAUAUGAAACUCUACUUAAAAUUACAGAUUGUGAAGAGGGCUCUUGAAGUUUGGGGUAGUCAGGAAGCAUUAGAAGAAGCAAAGGAAGUUCGACAGAAAAACCGAGAGAAAAUGAAACAGAAGAAGUUUGAUAAAAAAGUAAAAGAAUUACGGCGAGCAGUAAGAAGCAGUGUAUGGAAAAGGGAAGUGGUUGCUCACCAACAUGAGUAUGGACCAGAAGAAAACCUAGAAGAUGACAUGUACCGGAAGAUUUGUACUAUAUGUGGCCAUGAAUUGACCUCAAUAAAAAUUAUUUCUGAACGGGCAGAAGACCUUCCUGGGACAAAAAAAAAAAAAGCUUCCAGCUUGGUGACAACAGAGUAACUAGGAGUUCAGGCUGCUGACAACAGCAUUACUGCAUUGGGAGAUAAGGAGCCCUUGAGCCACAUGGAUUUAGGUUCAGAUUCACUUACUAGCUGUGGACCUUGGGCACAUCAUGGCCUCCUUGUACUUAGGAACACUAGACAGCCCUUCAGUCCUAUGCCGGGGACCAUUUUAAACAGUGAAAUAACCAAAACGCCAGCAUAGAAGGAAAACAAAAAGUACAAAUAAUGUGGCACUAAAUAACACCAUCAAGAGGACACUUUAAAAUAGGAGAACUGAAACAAGGCAGAAUUGAGUUGUUCAGUCUCAGCUGGGAACAAGCCCACUGGGCAACUCGGAAUGUCCACUGCUCUGCAUAUGUCUGCCAUGAUCAGGAAAGCACCGUGAGUAUUGAGAUUAUAAAUAAGUUUUAGUGAGUAGGUGAGUUUGUAAAAAUAGAAGCUCCAAAUAAGGACAGAAAAUGUAUUCUUGUAACUCUGCUAUUUAUUCAACAAAGCAGAUGACCAAUAAAAACCGACAGUGCUUUCCAGUCAUUAAUAAAUCUCUAUCUGCCCAUUUGAGCAGUAACAGAAGGGUAGCUUGCUAAUCUUUCACCCUCUAAUGGGACACACAAAAACUGGGCAGGCCCUUACAUAGCUCAAGAGGCUCAUCCUUGUAAUAGUUGAUAAAUGGCUGUCUGACAGGCAAUUCACAGCAGACUGUUUUAAGACUCUGCUGGCAAUGAUGUGCUCAAUAUACUUCUGUUAAGCUUUAACAGUUGCCUUCUAACUUACCCUGAUGAACUUAAAGAGUAUUCACCAAGGUUAUUUUUGUUUUUAAAGGCAGAAGUCAUGAUUUUACAGAUUAAGGGAAUAGGCUCAGAUGUUACAUGACUUUCCCAGUGUCACAGCCAUCAAGUGGCAGAGCCAGAAACUGACUCCAGGUGUGUUACAUUCCAAGAUCCUUUUAGCAAGAAGGUAGGCAGCACCAAAUUUGGAAAGCCCAUUUCUUUCCAGGUAACACUCUAUUGGUGAGCCCUGUCUAUGAGAGCCUCUUCUAUUCCCCAAACAAAAUGAUCAGAACCUCCUCACUCUGCUUUUAUCUCUAACACACCUGUUUUGGGGUCUGCCGAAUUUUGAAUAUUUUCAAAGAGUUUCUGGUGUACGUUGACCUUUUAUGAGUAGAAAGAAG